rnacentral:rRNA from 1 species
CCUACGGGGGGCAACAGUCGAGAAUCUUUCACAAUGGGCGAAACUCUGAUGCAGCGACGCCGCGUGAGUGAAGAAGUAAUUCGUUAUGUAAAGCUCUAUCAGCAGGGAAGAAAAUGACGGUACCUGAGUAAGAAGACCCGUCUAACUACGUGCCAGCAGCCGCGGUAAUACGUAGGGGGCAAGCGUUAUCCGGAUUUACUGGGUGUAAAGGGGGCGUAGACGGCAGGGCAAGUCCGGCGGGAAAGGCGGGGGCUCAACCCCCGGACUGCUCUGGAAACUGUACGGCUGGAGUGCAGGAGAGGUAAGGGGAAUGCCUGGUGUAGCGGUGAAAUGCGGAGAUAUUAGGAAGAACACCAGGUGCGAAGGCGGCUUACUGGACUAUAACUGACGUUGAGGCUCGAAAGCGUGGGGAGCAAACAGGAUUAGAUACCCCAGUAGUC